ACACUUAAGCAACAAGCCAUUUUCCAACUUGAGAUUUAUUUAUCUAUUUGUUUAUUUGUGUGUGUGUGUGUGUGUGUGUGUGUGUGUGUGUGCGCGCGCGCGCGUACACAUACAAUUUUUAUUUUAUGUUCAUUAGUAUUUUGACUACAUGUGUGAGGGUGUCAGAAGCCCUGGAACUGAAGUCAUGGACAGAUGUGACCUGCUAUAAUUGAACCUGGUAAUUGAACCCGGGUCCUCUGCAAGAGCAACCAGUGCUCUUCAUUGCUAAGCCAUCUCUCCAGCCCCUGUUUAUUUGGUUUUUGAGACAGGUUUCUCUGUGUAGCCCUGGCUGUCCUGGAACUUGAUCUGUAGAUCAGGCUAUUCUCCAACUCAGAGACCCACCUGCCUCUGCCUCCCAAGUGCUGGAAUUAAAGGUGUGCGCCACCACGCCCGGCUCCUCAGGCAUGUUUUUUUGUCAGAGCAGGCUGUCCUUAGACACCACAGCACUGUAUUGGAGGGCCUUCAGAUUCUGGAAUCCUGGGGUCCUGGAACCUAGCUGUGGAGUGCUUUGGGUAGGUUCAGACCCAAAUUCUCCAUACAUAUGUUGAAAGAUAUAUCUUUGUCUCUGGUCUGUUUCUAGUUAAGAUUCAGCCACUGAAGUGUUCAUUUAUGUGGGCUGACUCACACCUGUCAUCCCAGCACUCAGGAGGCAGCAGCAGGAGAAGCAGGAAUUGAAGGCUGUCCUUGGCUGCAUAGUAGAUUUGAUCUGUACCUGGGCUCCUUGGACCCAUCUCCACUCCCAGCUCCAUUCUCCUUUUGAGUGUCCAUGGACACACAGUUUCUCUGAUUCUCUAAGAUAAGCCACUGGGUCAUGCUUAACUCUGGUGUCACUUUCUGAGGAGCCACUAACUUUGCCGUUCCACAGUCCCCCUGGAUGGUGGACAGUGGUUCAGACUCUGCAGUGAGGAAGAGCAGGGCAGGGUUAUUCCUGUCCAGGCCUCAGUGGGAUCUUAUAAACUUGGACUCCUCAGGGAUAAGGUGCUCAGAGAGCCAAGUGCACCCACAUGAGGAGGUCUACAUGGAGUACUCACAAGGCAAAGCUUGCCCCAGCGUCUGUGGGAACAGUCCCUCCUCUCUCUGCCUUCUGGUGCAGGAAGAGCCUUGUGGUGGGAAUUCUCUAGGGUGGAAAUCAGACUAGCUUCAAGUUGUGUCCUUCACAGAUUGUCCUCAACCCUACCUCAGGCACUCAGAGAGGAAGCCAUCCCUUCUUUCCUUCCUGAUGCAGGUGCUCAUCUGCAGGAACUACCGUGGGGAUGUGGACAUGUCAGAGGUGGAGCACUUCAUGCCCAUUCUGAUGGAGAAGGAGGAGGAGGGCAUGCUGUCACCUAUCUUGGCCCAUGGUGGCGUUCGUUUCAUGUGGAUUAAGCACAACAACCUGUACCGUAUCCCUGUGCUGCGGAGUCGGGGUUUGGGAAUGACAUGCCUGCCCACCAGCACAGGACAACAGAGUAGCCAGAGGCCAUAGGCCUAGGGAAUGCUAAGUAUUCCAGAAGCUGCAGCUGUGGAGAGGAAGGGAGGGGUACAUGGCAAGAGUAGGAGCCAACUGGGCCUGAGGUUGUCCUUUGGAGAUGUGUCAUGUUAAAUGGGGUAGGUCUUUGGAUGGGGUGGGCUGAUUGUAGGUGGCUUUGUGGUCUAGAGAUUUCUGGCUGCUGUGUAUGGCCAGAGGCAGGAGUGGACAAAUGAGGGGAUCGGGUAGGAGUAGGGGUGGAAAGUUCUCAUGUGCCCAACAUCCCCAGCCUCGCUUCAGCCUCAAAUCAAGUGUGGUGCCAAGUGGAGACCCACCAUGGGUGCACCCACCACUUGGGGCUUUGAGCAGACCUCUGAAGAUCUGGCUAUGCAGUAAGCAGUGGGGUGUACCAGGUCUUUAGCUGUCUGUCCCCCCAGGGUCAGUAAGUAAAUGUGUGCGUGUGUGUGGCCUCCAACAGGCACAGAUGCCAACUCUUCCCAGAGACACAGUCUUCCCUUGCAGCUCCUGAUCUGCUCUCCCACCCAGGCAUAAGGUUUUUUUUUUUUUUCUGAUAUGUGAACUCUCUUGUGGAGUGGGCCUAAAAUCCAAUAGAAAGGUAUUACCCAUGGUAUUACCCAUGAUAUCUGUGCCACUGUUGCACAAUCAGGCACAUGCUGCUUAGCAUGUGGUAUUUUAGCACACAGGGUCCAUAGCUGAGCAGGAAUGUUGCUGUCUAUUCAACAAUAGCCUUCAUAGCCCCUUCUGGCAUUAUGAAAGCCACCCAGAAGGGUGGGAGUUUCCAUUUGGUUCCAACUUAAUUUCCCCAUGUCUGACAGUCCAAGUACAAUGUCUUCAGCAAUAGGCUCUUACCAUCUAGUUCUGCCAUACAACCAAUAGCAAUAGCCUGCAUGGUUCUUGGAGCUUCAGGAUUUCCUGGCCAGCAAUUCACAGGAGAUAGUCUACCCUUUGCUCAGGGAUUUUCAUCCAACAAACUGAUGACCUCCAGGAAUGUCUUUUCCACCAAUGUAGGGUACCAUUUGGAUUUAAACUCUUUUUUUUGUUGUUUGUUUGUUGUUUUUUUCGAGACAGGGUUUUUCUGUGUAGCCCUAGCUGUCCUGAAACUCACUCUGUAGACCAGGCUGGCCUCGAACUCAGAAAUUCACCUGCCUCUGCCUCCCAAGUGCUGGGAUUAAAGGCGUGUGCCACCACUGCCCGACCUCUUUACCUGUUUUAACAACCUUUUAUUUUAUUUUUUUAAAGCUUUCAUUUGUAGGGAUAUUUUACCUGCAUGUUUGCAGGCCAGAAGAAGGUAUUAGAUCCUUCUGGGACUAGAGUUAAAGCCAGUGGUAAGCCACCAUGUGGGUGCUGGGGAUUGAACUCAGGUCUUUUGGAAGAGCAACCUGUGCUCUUAAACCACUGAGCCAUCUCUCCAGCCCUCCAUUUUUCCUUUCAGUUAUCCAAGCCUCAGCUGGGCUGUAAGGUAGGUAGAAGUACCAUUACACCUAGUUGUCUUCAUCCAUGUUAGUGAAGUGGCUGCUUGUCACUGUUGUUCUCCAUGGACAUCACACAUGAUGCCUAGUUGGCUGAGAACCAUGAAAAUGCUUGUAAGAGGCCUGUGGCUAUGUGUACACUAGAGAAGUGAGUGCGUAUUUUUCAUGUCUCACUGAUAUCCUAUUAAGUCUACCUGUCAAUCUUUCCCAGGACCGAUUGAUUUAUAUAAGUGUCCAUUUGUUGAGGCCAUAAUCAGAAACAGGCCUAGUGUUUGGAGAGCAUGUAAAAUAGAAUAUGUCACAGGAAGACCAGCAGCCUUAGCUAUUUUCUAAUCUGUGUUGGCUUCCUUAUGACCAGACUUUAUAUGGUCCCAGUGGGAAGCUUCCAAGGGUACCUGAAAGGAAAUGGCCCAUACUUUGAUCUACUGUGGGCUCCCUAUUUGGGGUGAGUAGACAUGUGUAUAGCAUUCCCCCCCAAGCUUUGUCACC
rnacentral:lncRNA from 1 species